rnacentral:lncRNA from 1 species
UCCGGUGCUAUGGAAUUUGGUUUUGCUCGUCGUGGAUCUUCAUUGUUACUUGCGUACGAUUUCUGCACUUUCUGUUCUCCAUAUUUCCAUAAAAAGAGUAGCAUAUUAUCAAUGUUGUUCAGCAGUAGCUUCUUCUACAUCCACCUGGAAAGUCAGAAUUGGUCAAUGCUAAUCACAGAGAUACAACAAAACGAAAAAGGAUAACUCAUCUCUUUUAGCAAAUCAAACAGGUCUUCUUCCUGUUUUAAAUUAUCCCAAACAUAUUAUAUUUUUGUUGCAACAAUGAAUCAACUGUUGGGAUAAAUUUCUACAUGAGAAAGACCCUGUGUGAUAAUUUCCAAUGGAUGAACCAUCCGUUGCAAUAUAUGAAUCAUCUGUUGCAGUAGAUAGGUUGUCUAUUGGUACAAAUAAAAGUUGUACGAAGAGCUGUUUGAUUUGGUAAAACAGAUGAGACAUAUGUUGCACCAGAUAAAGUAUCUGGUGCAACAGGUUAGUCAACUGUUGCAACAGAUGUAUAUAUCUAUUUGAUAAUUUUUAGCAGAUGCGUCAUCUGUUAAAAUAGAUAUGUGUCUGUUUGUUUUGUCAGUUGGAAGACACAUAAUAUAUUCACCUUCUACAGCUCGUGCUUCUCUUCUUUGGACAUUAUAUGUUGCUCAGUGCAACACGCAGACAGAGGAGUUGCAAUUUUGUUUUUUUGGAUGCCUGAUAAUGCCCUAGAAAUCACUCUCUUUCUCAUCUUAGCCCUAAUCUCUAAUGGAGCGGAUGGAAAUAAAAUCCUCUUUGAUGGAAUGAGGCCUCUCUUAGAUAUCAAUUCCUUUACAAAAGUAGUUAAUGCAUUAAUAGCAUUAAUCACUACAUCAUGUUUCGCCCUGCAGUCUUAACAUUUGCAUACAGAACAUUCGCUGGGAGAGGCAAAAUCUGUAUAACCAGUAUGAUCAUACUCAUAAUGGUUUGCUUUAAAUACUGUAAGAGGAGCAUCAUUAGCACCAACAGCAACACCACUACCACCACCAACAGCUCCAUCAACAACAACAAGCCCACCCUUAAAAUUGUUUAUCUUGAAAUGGUUGUUGCUCCAAACAAUUCUAUUUUUAUUCUAUCGAUGACAUUAGGGUCCGAUAAAGUUUGCACAGACCGUAAAGUAAGAAAAAAUAGCAUCUUCAACUCUUGAUUGAUCGAAACUAGCGAUGGAUGCACAUUCUAACAUAAAUCAUUACAUAUAUUAGAAUGAUGAUUAGAACAUUCAAACAAAAUAUCAAUUAAAAGAAAAAAUUAAUUAUAAUUAUACUUACUGCAUCCUUCGGGGGGUUGAAGAGAUCAAGAAAUUUUGUAUUUUUAUGAGUUCUGGCCGAUAACCAUCUCAAGAUUCUUGGACAGGAA